CACAGAUGCUAGACGACCACACAGAACUUAAAGGAUUUAGUAGGCAGAACCUACACUUUCAAGUUAAAGCUGUUUGAAUUUCAACUUCUCUUCUAAACAUUAGUCUUUUACCAUAGCAAGAAUCUUUGAUGACAAUGAACGUCAGCCCCUGACAAACUUUCCGGAACAUGUACAUGCCACCCAUUGUCUAUAUGUGUACUCGGCUCACUCUAUUUAGUUCUCCUUUUUUUAAAUUGUCUAUGCACAGAGAGGAACCAUCGCGCCGGAGCUGUGAAAACUAAGGCUUAUCAUGGUGCGACCAGAGAAGCCCCUAAGACCAACAGUGGGAUUGAUGUUGUUGGGAUGGUUGAAUGAACUGCAGCUGCCACUCCACCUUUACCUGCUCACAUGGAAUUAAUGCUGACAUGAUUCCUCUUCCUGAAGAGGUGUGCGCUGGGAAUUCCAUUGACUAACAAUCCAUUAUGCAGGCCGGUUAUUUCUCACCGCAACAUCUGGAUCCCAUAUCUACUUUCACUAUAAUUCAGAUGUUGGAAAAGAAUACUAUGAAAAGUUGGUUGGGGGUACCACAAACUAGACUGUCUCUUCAUCUAAGCUUCUUCAUGCACAGAAAAUAGAACCUCUCAUCGUUCUGAGCUCAACCUUAUCACAUCUGAACCUCAGGUCAACGUAUAAAAAUCUACCUAAAGAUACUCUUUAAGUUGUCCAUUCUAAUUGUUGUUGUUCUAUAAUUGAUUGCAGAUAAUUGAGUUCCUCUGUACGCUAAAGUUACUGGAUUUCAGACAGAGAAAUGAUGGAGUUAUAUUGGUUGCUCAAAAUGUUCGAAGAAGCUCCAGCGAGAAGGCAGAGAUAUUCUGUAAUCUGAGGACAAGCAAGUAACAGCUUAGCUCUGCCCGGAAUUAACUUUCAUAGAAAAUAACAAAAUUAUACCAUCCUGACUAUCUUUCCAUACUUCACAGGCCAGAAAUCUAAAACAGAUACGCACAUAGCUACGAAAUGUUGUCUCUGAGACCCCGCAAAUGUUUGAGACAAACGACUGUUAUUAGUUUAUUUCACUAUGUAUCUCUACAGACUCAGGUUUGUAUUGACAAGCUUUUUCAUGAGAAGAACAAUAUGCAUUUACAAAACAUCUUCCUUAUUGUUUUCAUAUCGUUAGAAACAUUGAAUACGUUCCUGCAAUUUUUCUGUGAUUUUUU